rnacentral:rRNA from 1 species
UACGGAGGGGGCUAGCGUUGUUCGGAAUUACUGGGCGUAAAGCGCGCGUAGGCGGCUUUGUAAGUUAGUGGUGAAAGCCCGGAGCUCAACUCCGGAACUGCCUUUAAGACUGCAUCGCUAGAACGAUGGAGAGGUAAGUGGAAUUCCGAGUGUAGAGGUGAAAUUCGUAGAUAUUCGGAAGAACACCAGUGGCGAAGGCGACUUACUGGACCGGCAUUGACGCUG